GAUGAACGCUGGCGGCAUGCCUAAUACAUGCAAGUCGAGCGAAUGGAUUGAGAGCUUGCUCUUAUGAAGUUAGCGGCGGACGGGUGAGUAACACGUGGGUAACCUGCCCAUAAGACUGGGAUAACUCCGGGAAACCGGGGCUAAUACCGGAUAACAUUUUGAACCGCAUGGUUCGAAAUUGAAAGGCGGCUUCGGCUGUCACUUAUGGAUGGACCCGCGUCGCAUUAGCUAGUUGGUGAGGUAACGGCUCACCAAGGCAACGAUGAGUAGCCGACCUGAGAGGGUGAUCUGCCACACUGGGACUGAGACACGGCCCAGACUCCAACGGGAGGCAGCAGUAGGGAAUCUUCCGCAAUGGACGAAAGUCUGACGGAGCAACGCCGCGUGAGUGAGGAAGGCUUUCGGGUCGUAAAACUCUGUUGUUAGGGAAGAACAAGUGCUAGUUGAAUAAGCUGGCACCUUGACGGUACCUAACCAGAAAGCCACGGCUAACUACGUGCCAGCCGCCGCGGUAA
rnacentral:rRNA from 1 species